rnacentral:rRNA from 1 species
GACGAACGCUGGCGGCGUGCCUAAUACAUGCAAGUAGAACGCACAGUUUAUACCGUAGCUUGCUACACCAUAGACUGUGAGUUGCGAACGGGUGAGUAACGCGUAGGUAACCUGCCUGGUAGCGGGGAAUAACUAUUGGAAACGAUAGCUAAUACCGCAUAAUAUUAAUUAUUGCAUGAUAAUUAAUUGAAAGGUGCAAUUGCACCACUACCAGAUGGACCUGCGUUGUAUUAGCUAGUAGGUGAGGUAACGGCUCACCUAGGCGACGAUACAUAGCCGACCUGAGAGGGUGAUCGGCCACACUGGGACUGAGACACGGCCCAGACUCCUACGGGAGGCAGCAGUAGGGAAUCUUCGGCAAUGGACGAAAGUCUGACCGAGCAACGCCGCGUGAGUGAAGAAGGUUUUCGGAUCGUAAAGCUCUGUUGUAAGAGAAGAACGGGUGUGAGAGUGGAAAGUUCACACUGUGACGGUAUCUUACCAGAAAGGGACGGCUAACUACGUG